UACAGAGGUCUCAAGCGUUGUUCGGAUUCAUUUGGGCGUAAAGGGUGCGUAGGCGGCGCGGUAAGUCGGGUGUGAAAUCUCGGAGCUUAACUCCGAAACUGCAUUCGAUACUGCCGUGCUUGAGGACUGGAGAGGAGACUGGAAUUUACGGUGUAGCGGUGAAAUGCGUAGAUAUCGUAAGGAAGACCAGUGGCGAAGGCGGGUCUCUGGACAGUUCCUGACGCUGAGGCACGAAGGUCAGGGGAGCAAACGGG
rnacentral:rRNA from 1 species